UUUGUCGCAUCUCGUGUUGCGACACGAGAAGUAGACGAACGAGCAAUUAAAAUUUACACGGCGAAAAUUCUCACGACCAACGAAUCUCCGAUUUUUCAGAGUCAUGUUCACGAUUAUCCUCGUCGUAUCGGACUAUCUUCGGUACGUUCGAUCGACGCGAAAACACGGAGAUAAUGACACGGGAGAGGUACCAGCAGAAGAGAGUCUGACGAUGAGGGAAAAAUUGCCAAAGGGACAAGGCUUAUCGCACGAUACAAAACGACGGUCACGGCUCUGACACGUAAACUCAUUUAGAUGCGUUACACGCCGCGAAAUAACAUAGCCCGUGCCU